UUGAUUCACUUGGGUGAGAUUGCUGCUGGCCUUUGGGCAUGUGCGCAUCUCUCUCAUUUACCUCAUACCUCUGUGCACAUUUCACAGGACAGCUCGCGGCCUCUAGCUGCAGGCUGCUUCUGUGUAUUUUACAAACCUUUUUAUAAUAGUUGAGAAUGUUUCUGUGUAUUUACACAAUGAAAUACAACUUUCAGCAACGGAUCUCUUGGCUCUCGCAUCGAUGAAGAACGCAGCGAAAUGCGAUAAGUAAUGUGAAUUGCAGAAUUCAGUGAAUCAUCGAAUCUUUGAACGCAUCUUGCGCUCCUUGGUAUUCCGAGGAGCAUGCCUGUUUGAGUGUCAUGAUAUUCUCAAUUCCUUCAGCUUCUGCUGGAGUGACAUUGGACUUGGAGGCUGUUGCAGGAAUCCUUCUGGAUGCCAGCUCCUCUUAAUUGCAUUAGUGUGAAUGUCCACUUUAUGCUCAGUGUGAUAAUUAUCUGCACUGUGCUUGGGUGAUACAGCUUCAUGCUUCAAACUGUCGCAAGACAAUCUAUUGACUUCUGACCUCAAAUCAGGUAGGACUACCCGCUGAACUUAAGCAUAUCAAUAAGCGGAGGAAAAGAAACUAACAAGGAUUCCCCUAGUAACUGCGAGUGAAGCGGGAAAAGCUCAAAUUUAAAAUCUGGCUGUCUUUGGCUGCCCGAGUUGUAAUCUGGAGAAGUGCUUUCUGUGCUGGACCGUGUACAAGUCUCUUGGAAUAGAGCGUCAUAGAGGGUGAGAAUCCCGUCUUUGACACGGACUGCCAGUGCUUUGUGAUGCGCUUUCAAAGAGUCGAGUUGUUUGGGAAUGCAGCUCAAAAUGGGUGGUAAAUUCCAUCUAAAGCUAAAUAUUGGCGAGAGACCGAUAGCGAACAAGUACCGUGAGGGAAAGAUGAAAAGCACUUUGGAAAGAGAGUUAAACAGUACGUGAAAUUGCUGAAAGGGAAACGCUUGAAGUCAGUCGCGUUGUUCAGAACUCAGCCUGGCCUUGGCUUGGUGCAUUUUCUGAAUGACGGGCCAGCAUCAAUUUUGACUGUUGGAUAAAGACUGAGGAAAUGUGGCUCCUUCGGGAGUGUUAUAGUCUUCAGUUGCAUACAAUGGUUGGGAUUGAGGAAUUCAGCAUGCCUUUAUGUCGGGGUCGCCCACGUCAUGC
rnacentral:rRNA from 1 species